UGGACUUUAUCCCCCCCCACCGCUGCCUCCUCGAUUAGCAGCUCGCAGCUUCCCGAGGUCAGCUCUCCUCAGAUUUGAACUCAGAUUUUUCUGUAUUGAUCCUUCUGAACAAGAAAUACCAUCUCCUAAAACGUCUCUGGCUCUCUGGAAUUCAACCUACUUCUGAACUGGCAGGACAACUAUUCAUCAGGACCAGCUGAAACAUUAAUGCUACCUCCACAGUGAAAGCCUAAAAGGAGUAGUUAAUAGCAAUCAUACCCAGAGCUAGUAUAAUAGUCAAGCUAUAAGGUACAGGAAUAAGAUCAAGGAAUUCCAGCAGAUCUGCUUAAAUCCUGUAAAUCCGACUUAGGAGGGUAGAACAGCUAGUCAGCUUUUGUUUAAUUCUUUCCUCACCACGCGAUCACAUACAGGUUUCUGCAGCAGUGUUCUUAACCAGUGUGCUCAACACCAGACCCGAGUUUUCUUUACCUCCCAGCAACAGCAUGAUGGGGUGGUACACGUCCCAACUCAGAAAGAACAGUGUUGUUCCCUGUGGGUACACACAUGAAUUGUUAAUGGAGCAUGUCAAUAUGAGCAUGUCACAGAAUGCAUUUAAACACCCAAUAUCUUAAUGGUGAGACACAGGAAAAUGGCCAGCAGCUGAAAUUGCCAAGGACAAUCAGUAACUGGAGGGUUUUUGUUAUGUCAAAAUAAGCAAAAUAAUUGCUCAAGUACUUGUAAAGCCUGGGUGCACCUGAAAUUCUCUCAAUAAAUAAAGAAUUGGAAAACCUUAGCACAGUAAUGUCAAGCUUAGAGUAGACAUAAAAGGUUGGACAAAACCCCAAACAACUGAAUUUGUGAAGCUCACCAUGCAGCACUAUCAAGCAAAUAUAGCUGUUCAGAUUAGUGGGAGCUAUGCAAAUUUUCAAAAGUAAAAAUAGAAAAAGGUAUUAAGUGUCUCUGUUACAGCCUCUUAUGUAAGACUGCUCUUUGCAGAUAUUCAGCACAGGUGCUAUCUUAAGAGAUGCAUAACUACAUCUAUUCCAAGUUUUAAUAUGAAGAAAAAUCAUCAUCAACAGAGGUGAAUCAGUUCCUCACUCCAAAUCUAUCUUGUAUCCUCCAGAAACGAAGGAACAGCAAGUAGCAUUCCUUUCCAUAGUGUCUUCUGGACAGAAAAUGCAAAAUGUCACAGAACCAAAGUUUUCCCAAACUCAGAUGUGGAUAUUGUGUCCUUAUUGACCCCAAGUCCUCUGAAAGACUCAAUUAUGCCCUAAUAGCAACAAAAGAAUAAGCUGCCCUGUGGAUAAUCCACUAAUGAGCCACUGUAAUUAACAGCUAAGCGAACAUUGCUUCAGUAACUUGAAAGCCUUCACCUGACCAAAAUUUUUGUGGUGAACAGGUAUCAGCCUGGGGCUCCAAAGGACUCUACUCCAGCAAACUCCACAGCCAUCCAUGGGUAAUUACACAGUAUGCGUGUGCCUGCCUCCCCUCUUAUUCUGCUUUUUCUACACACCCAAAAAAAUUACUGAUAUAAAUGGUUAUAACAUUAGUUGUCCAAGACACUGCAUUUUCCCCACCAAGUAGGUACUGUCCCUAGAACCUGCCUGUAGUUUUGUGGUACUGUAGUGGAAACUGUCCUCACUUCCCCAAUCAAAACUAAAAAUUAAUUACAUUAUUUCAAAUAUCAGUCCAUGCUUGAACUUUUUAGUAUUUUUACCAAAAAACAAUGAAACAUUUUGUUGUAGAUGAGUUGCCCAAGUCAAACAUCAGCCUUGCUUUAUUACAGUACAGACAAAAUAAUCCAAUUUAUGUGGCACCAUACCUGUCUCGCGUGCAAAUCGGGGGGUAUAAAUCACAAACUUCCAUGUUAAAGUUAUAUUAGAUACUUACCAAUGUAUUAUGUAUUAACAAGGUGUUUAGCUGGAGAUUUUUUCUAAAUUCUAGAGCCUCUUCUUACAGCAGUGGAAAUUAAAAAACUUUCAAGAGGUACCAGAUUGUGUAUACACCCAU